GCUGGACACUUCUGUGUCUAUUCAUGAUCCUAUCUGCCUGGAAAACCCUUCAAGGAGUAAUGGCAGCUGGUUCUGCUCUGCCUCCCAAGUCUUGCAAAAGUUCUUCUUUCAGGUCAGCUCUUGGAACAAUUUAUGGAAGGAAUUCUGGGAAAUAGAACUCCCCACUGAAUAGAUUGGAGAGUAGAUCCAUCCAGCACAGCACUGUGAUCCAGCCCCACAGAGGUGCCUGCAGGUGUCUGAACAUGCUGAAUUACUGCCAGUGACUUGCAGUGUGGAUGCUGUGUCCUUUGUCUGAUCUUCUUCCCCCUUCAAGACUCUCAAAUGUUAUUUCCUUGAAAUCACAACUUCCUGAGCAGUUGCUUUCUCCUCCAUGUUUGUAUAGUGGUCCUUUACCUUAGCAUUUAGCAAGUCUUUAGCAUUUUUUUCAAGUUCCUUCACAUAGUUUAAGAACUGAAGGGUGAUGAAAGAGUGCUUAUGUAGUGAUUUGGAGGUGUGUGACAAGUAGGAGUCCACAAUGGUUUCCCUCAAAAAGCAAUGCCCUCAUCAAGGUUCUCUGCCCCACGCAGCCACUCUUGGGUGAAUCUAGGUGGUAGGGAUUUAACUGAUUGCUUCUUUCAUCUUUUGUCAGUUGCAAUAUAUUCAAGUGCUAUGGCUAUUCCCACUGGCUCUUGAGUCUACUGUUCAGCGGAAUAGACUAACGCAUAGCUGAGAGAAUGUUUUUUUUUCUGAAGAAAAGGACAAUAUAGCUCAUGUACUUAAGAGGAGAAGCAGACAACUACAAACUGACUGUUACAGAUAGCUAUGGAGAUAAAAUCAUAGGAGCUGCAGGUUAUCUGCAUAUGUUAAGGUGUAACUUAAUACUUUGAGACUAGAGCACUACUUUGCCUUUUUCAGAUUAUAAGGCACUUGGUAUUCUGAAGCGCCAGUUUCCUAACACAUCACUAAUUGGGCUGACUGCAACUGCAACGAAUCAUGUUUUGAAGGAUGCACAGAAAAUUUUAUGUGUUGAAAAAUGUCUUACUUUUACAGCUUCUUUUAAUCGUCCAAAUCUUUAUUAUGAGGUUCGCCAAAAGCCCUCAAACACUGACGAUUUCAUUGAGGAUAUUGUAAAGCUCAUUAAUGGGCGAUACAAAGGACAAUCAGGUAAUGUAAAAAUAAACCAGUUUUAGACUCUGAGAGAUAACUCUCAAGCAGUAACUAAUAUUGUGUUGGUAAUUAUACUGAUAAGUGACUUAACAUCUACAAAUAUUAACUUACGGCAGAAGAUUCCUGAAAAUGUUGCGAUGUGUUGCUUCUCUUGGUGAUCUUGAAGACUGGGCUUGGCAUUUCCUUAUGUCACAGAUUAUAAGUCAUAGAACUACUUUUGCUUUUGCUUUAUUUACACUGAAUUGCGUUAGGGUGGGCCUGCCUAGUGACAAUGCUUAUUAUUAGUGGAACAUGUUUAGUAACUUGUAUGCAUAUUUGUGUAAGCUAAAGCACUGGUGUUCUAAAGGGAUAUAAAAUAUAUUUCCUUUACAGUAAAUGACACAUGAAGAAGUAAAUGGUACAUUUUUAAUAGGUUAAGCAAAGAUGGAGUUGGGAAUGGCUACCCCAGGAUGCUGGUACAGAUAACUAAUGGACUAUCUGUUCCAGGAUUCAGAGUAGGCGAGUGAUGCUGAAGCAAGAAUUUGUGUAAUGGUAACAUUUCAAAACUGUUUUCUGAGGAGAUAUUAAUGGGUGUCCAUGGUAAAAGGAGUUCCAGGACAAAUAAGUUGAGAAGGGCUACGGCUAUCUAUCCCUCCUAGAGAUGCACAGGGUGUGAGUACACUGGAGGCUCUGAUCAGCCUGAACAGAGAGAUGCCUAUUUCACUGUGUUGAAUGCAGUGUUCCCCAAACUCAUUUGCACAUGAAACUCUUUUUUGACAGCACACUUGUUAACAUCUUAUGGAGCUGUGGGACUUCAGUUUGAGAAAUGCUAUAUAGUGGGAGAUAAAGUUGGAGAGAGAAAAGAGGUAAUGGGAACCCAAACUGGUGGCUCAGUGCUCAUUUCUGGUUCAGAGCAAGCUGGAGAUCAACUCUUGAAUUAUACCCAAAAGUCAAUAUAUGCUUAGGGCUUUGGAAUUUUUCAUUAUUCUUCCUAUCCCUCUGUACUUUGUAUUAAUCAAUGUCUUUAAGGGUGUGUUGAAAAUUAUCUCCCUGGAAUUUACUAUUUACACAUAUCUAAUACCUGGUCAUAUUUUACUGCAGGAAUCAUAUAUUGUUUUUCUCAGAAAGACUCUGAACAGGUUACAGUUAGUUUACAGAAAUUGGGGAUCCAUGCAGGUGCUUACCAUGCCAAUAUGGAAGCAGAAGACAAGACCAAGGUCCAUACAAGAUGGUCAGCCAACGAACUUCAGGUAGUCGUGGCAACGGUUGCAUUUGGUAUGGGAAUUGAUAAGCCAGAUGUGAGGUUUGUCAUUCAUCAUUCAAUGAGUAAAUCUAUGGAAAAUUAUUACCAAGAGAGUGGACGUGCAGGUAUAUAGAAAUCAAAUCCAGAAGUAAUUGUUACAGUGCUUUUCCAGAACCUACAUUACAAAUGCUUAGGAAUUCCUUAUUUUUAAUGUUCUCUAUCAGGUGGUUCUUUUAGGAAAAUGAGUACUUUUUUAGCAGAUCUGUGCUUAUUUUUGUAGGGAGAAAAUCCACUUAUGUUCUAUGGGGGUGUUAUGGAUGAUUUCUUGUGUGUGAUAAUACCUGUGAUGUUCACGCUGCCUCUUGAAAAAUUUAGCUGUUGGUUUCAAAUCUGUAACUUAAAUAACUGGAUAUCUUAAGGAUAAAUUUUAAUUUAAUAAAGCUGUUGGUAAGUGUCUU